UACAGCGAUAGGCUUCAUAGUAGAAGAAGCCUGUGGUCAUCGCAGGUGGUGCCGAUGCUGUCCUUAUCACUGAAUUUGAAGGAUUGCUUGAACAGCUUGUAAUGAGAGUGGCUAAAGUAUUGAUUUUGGACUACAUCUGAAUAUGGAAAAGGCGACGGUUUUGAAUCUUGGAGAGCUGACCUCACAGGGAAAAAUAGCAUCUUCACAGAAGCAGUUUUUAGGGAGUGAAAAGUAAAGCAUUGUUUCCAUGGCCAAAGACGUCUCCGUGAAAGACUCGCAUAUUCUGAAUUAAGGACAAAGAGUGGUUCUCCUCCAGUUUUCCUAUUCCAUCUUUGAGUAUCUUGUUUGGAGCAUUAGAUAGCUGGGUUCACAAGUCAAGGGCACAGGUUCAAUCAUCACGCAGGCUAGUGACCUUCAGUAUUUCCUGGCCACAGAUACCUGCCUUCUUCUAGCUGUUGUCUUGAAUGACUGUGUAGUUGGUUCCAAGGGAAUUAAGGGAGGAAGGGGUGACAGAUGAAAGCCAUCUAUGACCUCUAUUGGCAAAACAACUCAUAACCUAUAGAGCACAGGUCAGUAGUGGCGCCUUUUAAGGAAAAUCAGCACAUGGAGCUUAUGCCACCAGGAAGAGUCAUGUGCUUAUAAACUGGAUCAUGGUAAAUUUUCAUUGAAAGUAUGCAUUGGUACUAAUGCUAAGAAUGGAUGCAAAGCCAGUCAACGAAGCAGCAGAAAAGGUGACAGUCUCAUGUUGGCCAUGGGGUACUCUCUGCGUCAUGCUAGAAAGAGUUUAUGGUCCCACCUGCAUCCAUGAGAAAGAGAAAACAAAGCUUCAAUUUUAAGUCCUUGGAAAUUCCAUGCCAUUAAGAAACUGCUACUGCCAGCUUUCUGGCGUUAUUCAAAGGGGUAAAAAGUUCAUUACACUAGUGUUCUUAUAAGUGUUGGUUUUAUUUCAUAUUAUUUGAAGAGCUAUUCUGCUUAGUAACAAUAAAUUGCUUGGAAGAUGUCA
rnacentral:lncRNA from 1 species